GGGCCCGCACAAGCAGCGGAGCAUGUGGUUUAAUUCGACGCGACGCGAAGAACCUUACCUGGGCUUGACAUGUGAGUGACAGGUGUGGAAACACACCCUCCCUUCGGGGCACUUUCACAGGUGGUGCAUGGCUGUCGUCAGCUCGUGUCGUGAGAUGUUGGGUUAAGUCCCGCAACGAGCGCAACCCCCGUCGCAUGUUGCCAGCAUUUAGUUGGGGACUCAUGCGAGACUGCCGGUGACAAACCGGAGGAAGGUGGGGAUGACGUCAAGUCCUCAUGCCCCUUAUGUUCAGGGCUACACACGUGCUACAUUGGCGCGUACAGAGGGUUGCGAUACCGCGAGGUGGAGCGAAUCCCUUAAAGCGCGUCUCGGUUCGGAUUGCAGGCUGAAAUUCGCCUGCAUGAAGGCGGAGUUGCUAGUAAUCGCGGAUCAGCACUGCCGCGGUGAAUACGUUCCCGGGCCUU
rnacentral:rRNA from 1 species